CGGGGGUAGAGCACUGUUUCGGCUAGGGGGCCAUCCCGGCUUACCAACCCGAUGCAAACUGCGAAUACCGGAGAAUGUUAUCACGGGAGACACACGGCGGGUGCUAACGUCCGUCGUGAAGAGGGAAACAACCCAGACCGCCAGCUAAGGUCCCAAAGUCAUGGUUAAGUGGGAAACGAUGUGGGAAGGCCCAGACAGCCAGGAUGUUGGCUUAGAAGCAGCCAUCAUUUAAAGAAAGCGUAAUAGCUCACUGGUCGAGUCGGCCUGCGCGGAAGAUGUAACGGGGCUAAACCAUGCACCGAAGCUGCGGCAGCGACGCUUAUGCGUUGUUGGGUAGGGGAGCGUUCUGUAAGCCUGUGAAGGUGGCCUGUGAGGGUUGCUGGAGGUAUCAGAAGUGCGAAUGCUGACAUAAGUAACGAUAAAGCGGGUGAAAAGCCCGCUCGCCGGAAGACCAAGGGUUCCUGUCCAACGUUAAUCGGGGCAGGGUGAGUCGACCCCUAAGGCGAGGCCGAAAGGCGUAGUCGAUGGGAAACGGGUUAAUAUUCCCGUACUUGGUGUUACUGCGAAGGGGGGACGGAGAAGGCUAUGUUGGCCGGGCGACGGUUGUCCCGGUUUAAGCGUGUAGGUGUGUGUUCCAGGUAAAUCCGGUUCACUUUAACACUGAGGCGUGACGACGAGGCACUACGGUGCUGAAGCAACAAAUGCCCUGCUUCCAGGAAAAGCCUCUAAGCAUCAGGUAACAUCAAAUCGUACCCCAAACCGACACAGGUGGUCAGGUAGAGAAUACCAAGGCGCUUGAGAGAACUCGGGUGAAGGAACUAGGCAAAAUGGUGCCGUAACUUCGGGAGAAGGCACGCUGACACGUAGGUGAAGUGAUUUACUCAUGGAGCUGAAGUCAGUCGAAGAUACCAGCUGGCUGCAACUGUUUAUUAAAAACACAGCACUGUGCAAACACGAAAGUGGACGUAUACGGUGUGACGCCUGCCCGGUGCCGGAAGGUUAAUUGAUGGGGUCAGCGCAAGCGAAGCUCCUGAUCGAAGCCCCGGUAAACGGCGGCCGUAACUAUAACGGUCCUAAGGUAGCGAAAUUCCUUGUCGGGUAAGUUCCGACCUGCACGAAUGGCGUAAUGAUGGCCAGGCUGUCUCCACCCGAGACUCAGUGAAAUUGAACUCGCUGUGAAGAUGCAGUGUACCCGCGGCAAGACGGAAAGACCCCGUGAACCUUUACUAUAGCUUGACACUGAACAUUGAGCCUUGAUGUGUAGGAUAGGUGGGAGGCUUUGAAGUGUGGACGCCAGUCUGCAUGGAGCCGACCUUGAAAUACCACCCUUUAAUGUUU
rnacentral:rRNA from 1 species